rnacentral:rRNA from 1 species
UACGUAGGGGGCAAGCGUUGUCCGGAUUUAUUGGGCGUAAAGAGCGUGUAGGCGGUUUGGUAGGUCCGCUGUGAAAACUCGAGGCUCAACCUCGAGACGCCGGUGGAAACCAUCAGACUAGAGUCCGGAAGAGGAGAGUGGAAUUCCUGGUGUAGCGGUGAAAUGCGCAGAUAUCAGGAGGAACACCAAUGGCGAAGGCAGCUCACUGGGACGUUACUGACGCUGAGACGCGAAAGCGUGGGGAGCAAACAGG